GGGCCCGCACAAGCGGUGGAGCAUGUGGUUCAAUUCGACGCAACGCGAAGAACCUUACCUGGGCUCGAACGGCUCAUGACCGCCGGUGGAAACAUCGGUUUCCCGCAAGGGACUAGAGUCGAGGUGCUGCAUGGCUGUCGUCAGCUCGUGUCGUGAGAUGUUGGGUUAAGUCCCGCAACGAGCGCAACCCUUGUCCUGUGUUGCCACUCCGCAAGGAAGCACUCUCAGGAGACCGCCAGCGAUAAGUUGGAGGAAGGUGGGGAUGAUGUCAAGUCAUCAUGGCCUUUAUGUCCAGGGCUACACACGUGCUACAAUGGGCGGUACAAAGCGCUGCAAACCCGCGAGGGGGAGCUAAUCGCAAAAAACCGUUCUCAGUUCGGAUCGCAGGCUGCAACUCGCCUGCGUGAAGCUGGAAUCGCUAGUAAUGGCGUAUCAGAAUGAUGCCGUGAAUACGUUCCCGGGCCUU
rnacentral:rRNA from 1 species